GGGUCCGGCAACGAGCGCAACCCUUAUCCUUUGUUGCCAGCACGUAAUGGUGGGAACUCAAAGGAGACUGCCGGUGAUAAACCGGAGGAAGGUGGGGAUGACGUCAAGUCAUCAUGGCCCUUACGAGUAGGGCUACACACGUGCUACAAUGGCAGAUACAAAGAGAAGCGACCUCGCGAGAGCAAGCGGAACUCAUAAAGUCUGUCGUAGUCCGGAUUGGAGUCUGCAACUCGACUCCAUGAAGUCGGAAUCGCUAGUAAUCGUAGAUCAGAAUGCUACGGUGAAUACGUUCCCGGGCCUUGUACACACCGCCCG
rnacentral:rRNA from 1 species